GUGCUUGCUUUGGCAGCACAUAUACUAAGAUUGGAAUGAUACAGAGAUCAGCAUGGCCCCUGUGCAAGGACAACACACAAAUUUAUGAAGCAUUCCAUCCAGCC